rnacentral:rRNA from 1 species
CUNNNNAACGNGCCCCCCCUGGGGUGGGAUUUCCCCCUUGAUUUUGAUCCCNNUUCAUAUCGAACGCUGGCGGCCCGCCUAACACAUGCUACUUGAGCGGAAACGAGUUAACUGACCCUUCNGGGAACCUUCUCCGCGGCGAGCGGCGGACGGGUGAGUAAUGCCUGGGAAAUUGCCCUGCUGUGGGGGAUAACCAUUGGAAACGAUGGCUAAUACCGCAUAAUAGCUUCGGCUCAAAGAGGGGGACCUUCGGGCCUCUCGCGUCAGGAUAUGCCCAGGUGGGAUUAGCUAGUUGGUGAGGUAAUGGCUCACCAAGGCGACGAUCCCUAGCUGGUCUGAGAGGAUGAUCAGCCACACUGGAACUGAGACACGGUCCAGACUCCUACGGGAGGCAGCAGUGGGGAAUAUUGCACAAUGGGCGCAAGCCUGAUGCAGCCAUGCCGCGUGUAUGAAGAAGGCCUUCGGGUUGUAAAGUACUUUCAGCAGUGAGGAAGGUGGGUAUGUUAAUAGCAUACUCAUUUGACGUNAGCUGCAGAAGAAGCACCGGCUAACUCCGUGCCAGNAGCCGCGGUAAUACGGAGGGUGCGAGCGUUAAUCGGAAUUACUGGGCGUAAAGCGCA